rnacentral:rRNA from 1 species
AUACAGAGGGUGCAAGCGUUAUUCGGAAUUACUGGGCGUAAAGCGCGCGUAGGCGGAUGAUUAAGUCAGUUGUGAAAGCCCUGGGCUCAACCUAGGAACUGCAUCUGAUACUGGUCAUCUAGAGUUUAAGAGAGGGAAGUGGAAUUCCAGGUGUAGCAGUGAAAUGCGUAGAUAUCUGGAGGAACAUCAGUGGCGAAGGCGACUUCCUGGCUUAGAACUGACGCUGAGGUGCGAAAGCGUGGGUAGCGAACGGGAUUAGAAACCCGAGUAGUCC